rnacentral:tRNA from 1 species
GCCUGGGUGGCUCAGUUGGUUAAGCAUCUGACUUCGGCCCAGGUCAUGAUCUCACGUUUUGUGAGUUCAAGUCUCACAUCAGGCU